rnacentral:misc_RNA from 1 species
GAUGAAGAACGUAGCGAAAUGCGAUACGUAGUGUGAAUUGCAGAAUUCAGUGAAUCAUCGAAUCUUUGAACGCACAUUGCACCUCUCGGUAUUCCGGGAGGUAUGCCUGUUCGAGCGUCAUUUGUACCCUCAAGCUCUGCUUGGUGUUGGGUGUUUGUUCCGCCUCUGUGUGUGAACUCGCCUCAAAACAAUUGGCAGCCGGCGUACUUGUUUCGGAGCGCAGCACAUUUUGCGAUCCAGAUCAACGUACAGCGGCAUCCAAGAAGCCUUAUUUAACGCUCUUGACCUCGGAUCAGGUAGGGAUACCCGCUGAACUUAAGCAUAUCAAUAAGCGGAGGAA